CCUACGGGGGGCAGCAGUGGGGAAUAUUGGACAAUGGGGGGAACCCUGAUCCAGCCAUGCCGCGUGUGUGAAGAAGGCCCUCGGGUUGUAAAGCACUUUCAGUGAGGAAGAACGCCUGGUGGUUAAUACCCAUCAGGAAAGACAUCACUCACAGAAGAAGCACCGGCUAACUCCGUGCCAGCAGCCGCGGUAAUACGGAGGGUGCGAGCGUUAAUCGGAAUUACUGGGCGUAAAGCGCGCGUAGGUGGCUUGAUAAGCCGGUUGUGAAAGCCCCGGGCUCAACCUGGGAACGGCAUCCGGAACUGGCAAGCUAGAGUGCAGGAGAGGAAGGUAGAAUUCCCGGUGUAGCGGUGAAAUGCGUAGAGAUCUGGAGGAAUACCGGUGGCGAAGGCGGCCUUCUGGACUGACACUGACACUGAGGCGCGAAAGCGUGGGUAGCAAACAGGAUUAGAUACCCUUGUAGUC
rnacentral:rRNA from 1 species